rnacentral:sRNA from 1 species
AAAUCAAGCUCACUCUGUAUCCUUCUUCUUUCAUAUGAAUCAAUUGAUGAUAUCCGUAUCAA